GCUGCACCUCCUCCAUGACCCGCUGUUGGGCUUGGAAACGACAUUGUGAAGACGUCGGAGUCGCCGCAUGAGCCUGCUCGUGACAGAACCCAUUACGAAGAUGAGCGGCGGCAGUACCCCUGAGUUCAAAACCCAGGGAUGAAUCUGCAUGUUUAAAGGUCCUAACAUGGUAAUCCUAACUAAAGCCUUUGAUGUCUUGCUUGUUACUUUAGAUAUUUUGUUGGCUGUGUUAAUGUUUUUACUGGGACUUAUGUAGAAAACGCAAGAACAAGAAAGAAAAGAAAAAUGAUACAAUUUCAAAGUGGAUGAGAAUGAAGAAUGUGGCAAUCCUUCAUGCAUGGAUGUUCAUAACAAGAAUCUUUGUGUGUUCAGAGUCCCCUCUAUUUAAUAAAUGCAGCACUACCACUCUUCCUAGAAAAUAGGCAACUUCCCUCAUUAUCUUCAUCUGGUUAACAACCCAGAUUCAUCUCCACUAUUCCCUCCUUUUUAUUUGGAGUGGGGCAUCACUCUAAUUUUGAUUGAAUACCCAUGCC